rnacentral:hammerhead_ribozyme from 1 species
AGUUGCUGAUGAGUCCCAAAUAGGACGAAACGCGCGUCCUGGAU